UACAGAGGUCUCAAGCGUUGUUCGGAUUCAUUGGGCGUAAAGGGUGCGUAGGCUGUGCUGUAAGUCAGGCGUGAAAGGCCCGGGCUCAACCUGGGAAUGGCGCAUGAUACUGCGGCGCUGGAAGGCGGGAGAGGAUGGCGGAAUUCCCAGUGUAGAGGUGAAAUUCGUAGAUAUUGGGAAGAACACCGGUGGCGAAGGCGGCCAUCUGGCCCGCAAUUGACGCUGAGGCGCGAAAGCGUGGGGAUCAAACAGG
rnacentral:rRNA from 1 species